UUCUAAUUCAUUUUUGGUUUCUUUAUUGUCCUGUGACGACGAAGCUUUACACCGAAAUGUUUUAGGUUUUUGAUAUUCAUCACGUUUCAGUUCGAUUAUCUGGAGUUGGUUAACAAUUUUAAUUUUUAUUUGAGAUCUAAUUAGUUAGAUCAUUGAAUUUCUCCACAAAAUUUACCAGAUCUCAGGUUGGUAACAGAAGUGACCAAACUCGUCUGGGAGUUGGAUUUUCUACAUGUAGAAUCAUGACCAUAUACUAGCAGUUGAGAUGGUAACCAUACACCGUGCAUACUACUUUCCAGUACACAAGUACUGAAGUAAAGCGUUACCGACUGCAGGAAGGCAUGGUUUUCUACAACAAGCAUGAAUACCGCGUCGUACCUACGGAUUUGGGCUCUAAGGUGUAGUGAAGGUCAAAGAUGAUAGAAAUGAGGCCCAAAUUUAUGUUUCUAUGCUUGCAGUUCAAGAUGCUGCAAUACAUUGCAAGGUAUUCGGUCUAGUUGUAUACUUGUUUCCCUUUAUGAUGACUACCUUGAUGUUGGUCUCAGCUGAUAACAAGAUUUUGUGCAUUAGGCUUGCUUAAAUGAGUUUGUCAUGUGUCGAAGGUACUAUGAGUUUUUCUCAUGUGAGUUUGGUAUUCUGGGAAAUACAUUGUUCCUCAACCUUUAAAGCAGAAUUUCUCAUUUGUAUUUCUUGUUGUGACCAUAUAAGUCACCAUUUAAAAUUUGUUGCUCAUGUGUAAUAAAUAUAUGGGAAAUUUAAAUAACUUAGGUUUGCGACGAGUUUUUUUUCUUCUUUUAAGUAAAACUAUGCCUGUAACAUUUAUCAUUCGACACUAUAGAUAUUCCUUUGUUAGUUUACUUA